UGGAAGGGAAUAUCAAUAACGAAAUAAUAAUGCAAAAAUUAAAAGUGAAUAUUUGUCGAUUGACAAAAUGAAAUCAUUGGUUGUGUUUUAGUUCAGCUGCUGGAGGUCGUAGUUUCGCUUUCGCUUUCGUGACGUUAAACAAGACACUAAAAAUAAGUGUCUUGUUUAACGUCAUUGAUAAAAUUUAAAUCUGAAAAAAAUGCAAGAAUUUUAAAAUUCUUAAAAUGCCUAAUAAUCUACUAUAUUGUAGCUGUGUUCAGAAAUUGAACAUGCAUGGAAAUAAAAGAUAAAUAAAUGGAAAAAUUAUCCUCCUGAUGCCAAUUCAGUCAAUUCCACUAUUGCCAAUUCUAGUAGGAGUUGCUGCUGUUGUUGUUAUAGUAACAAUUUACAAAAAUUAUAGAACAGUAGAAACUCCAAUCUUUUCUGAA